UACAGAGGGUGCGAGCGUUAAUCGGAAUUACUGGGCGUAAAGCGUGCGUAGACGGUUAUCUAAGUCGGAUGUGAAAGCCCCGGGCUCAACCUGGGAAUUGCAUUCGAGACUGAAUAGCUAGGGUGCGGUAGAGGGAAGCGGAAUUUCCGGUGUAGCAGUAGAAAUGGCGUAGAUAUCAGGAGGAAUACCGAUGGCGAAGGCAGGUCUCCUGGGCUGACACUGACGCUCGAUGCACGGA
rnacentral:rRNA from 1 species